rnacentral:rRNA from 1 species
UACGAAGGGGGCUAGCGUUGUUCGGAAUUACUGGGCGUAAAGCGCACGUAGGCGGACAUUUAAGUCAGGGGUGAAAUCCCGGGGCUCAACCCCGGAACUGCCUUUGAUACUGGGUGCCUUGAGUGUGGAAGAGGUGAGUGGAAUUGCGAGUGUAGAGGUGAAAUUCGUAGAUAUUCGCAGGAACACCAGUGGCGAAGGCGGCUCACUGGUCCACAACUGACGCUGAGGUGCGAAAGCGUGGGGAGCAAACAGG